UACGGAGGGUGCAAGCGUUAUCCGGAUUCACUGGGUUUAAAGGGUGCGUAGGUGGGUAGGUAAGUCAGUGGUGAAAUCUCCAAGCUUAACUUGGAACUGCCGUUGAUACUAUUUAUCUUGAAUAUAGUGGAGGUGAGCGGAAUAUGUCAUGUAGCGGUGAAAUGCUUAGAUAUGACAUAGAACACCAAUUGCGAAGGCAGCUUGCUACACUACUAUUGACACUGAGGCACGAAAGCGUGGGGAAUCAAACAGGG
rnacentral:rRNA from 1 species